UACGUAGGGUGCGAGCGUUAAUCGGAAUUACUGGGCGUAAAGCGUGCGCAGGCGGUUUCUGAAGUCCGUUGUGAAAGCCCCGGGCUUAACCUGGGAAUGGCAGUGGAAACUAGGAGACUUGAAUCUGGCAGAGGGGGGUGGAAUGCCACGUGUAGCAGUGAAAUGCGUAGAGAUGUGGCGGAACACCGAUGGCGAAGGCAGCCCCCUGGGUCGGCCCUGACGCUGAGGCGCGAAAGCGUGGGGAGCGAACGGG
rnacentral:rRNA from 1 species